rnacentral:lncRNA from 1 species
CUGCAGCUUUUUGUAUUGUUUUCUCAAGUGAAAUAAUUAACUUCUUUCUUCAAAAAAUUAUGGCGAAAAUGGACAUCUCCAAGGCCAUGCAAGUCUUGACGAUGGCAGUUUUUGUAGCAAUCUUUUUGCUCAUGUCCUCUAAGAUGGCAACCGCAAUGCUCAGUGAUGCAGGCCCAGAAACUAUACUUGGUUUGUAGAUAUACCUGCGUACCACUUUGGAGCUAGCAUUUUAUUCGUUCGAAACUUCUCUUUUGCUAUGUCCGCAUUUUAUAAAAUCAAAAUUUGUAUGCAUUCCCAUUUAGCAAUUAACACACCUAGAUGGCUUUCUUACAUUUCUAUUAAGAUCACAAUGAAAAUAUUAUAUUGUCAGUUCUAUCCACUUUUAUUGGCCUUCAUUUUCCCAUUUUUUUCUUUUCCAUUUGAGAUCAAUGACCAAAAUAAAUUUGAAAUUUCAUCAAAUUCAUUUGCAGGUCGCAGGGCUCUACUUGCUGACUAUAACACAACUGGUCGCGGAGGAUAUAAUUGAUGAAUUGAGCAAGCUGCAAGCUCAUCAACCAUUUAUGUUGCAUAUGCCUAUGGAAUAAAAAUAAAAUAUAUAUAUAUGUUUGUGUGUUCUAUGCUAAGUUAUUACUUCAUGCAAUAACUAUAUAAUGCCUGCGGCUGUAAGUCAAAAUAUCUUCUAGUAGUACUUCCAAGAUGUUUUGCUUCAAAAGUUAUUAUGAUAUGUAUGCUAUGUCGUUACUUAUAUUUGUGGAUUUGCACUAUAACAAAUCAAAGUGAGUCAAUAAUGAUUACUAAUUAGUUGUGAUUAAUUGAUUCCUUUGAUCUGGAUAUAUAACAAAUAAUAGAAAAAAAAUACCCAAGAGAAAAAUUCACGGACUUUCAAAUAAGACAAAUAUUUUUGUUCGUCAAAAAAUUAAUUAAGAAAUAACAUAAAUGAUUACAUAUGUCUUCCACUUAUUGUUGACUGUUGUAAGCUAAGCCACUGUCAUUAUUUUCGUUCUCCUUAAGGACAAAUAGGCCACUGGCCGGUACCCUAUGAUCAUCGGCAUCAUAGCCCAAACUUCAAGUCCACUAUGAUCAAUUCUUAGCUCUCUGAUGAAGGGAGGCGAACAAGAAUCUGAUGAGCAAUGGUGCUGGUAGGAAUCAUAGUUGUUGAAUGAAAUGUUGCGCAGCCACGACAUGAAAAAUGGACCUUUCUGCACCAAGUCAAUACACAGGGAAAUCGAUUAAUUAAGAUCAUUAUUAUGUUUUAGUUGACGUAAGAAUAGUUUUAUGCAUUUGAAUCUGUGAAAAAUCAUAUGGAUCAUUUGGCAAUUUUCUCCUAACCUGGAUAAAGAAUCCUCCAGAUAGCAUGGAGGUCAUAAGAACAAUGGAUGCCAAUAUUUUUGCUUUCUUUACAUCCAUGAACGCCACUCCUAUGAUAAGUCCAAGGCCCUGCAUUAUUCAAGUUGAAAAAGCCAAGCAAGACUAUUACAAUUUCACCCAAAAAAAAAAAAAAUUGAUUGGUAUCUGACAUUUUAUGGCACCUGAGCAGCUAGAAUACAGAGGAAAACAGUGAGCAUAUUCUGAGAAAACGCGAUGUAACUUGGCCUCAAGCCAACCAUAACACAGAUAAUCACAAGAACGAUUAUUGGCAGUAUGAGAUCUAAAGGAAGAUCACUAAUGUUUCUCGCUGAAAAAUAUGCACUGAGUUUGUACAUGUCCACAGAUCUUUCCUCAGCUAGCAUCGCUCUUUCUUGUGGGAAUGUGAAAGUAGCGGUAAAUAAAGGAAAGAAGCCCCAAAAUACUGAAAUGAAGAACAACAGCGAUGCCUGCAUACAAAUUGAACGAGAAUGGUAAGUACUUGCAAAUGUUGUCACAAAUAGCAAAGGGAAAAAUGAUUAGGAGUUUAUUCAAGUGAUGGUUGCCUUUCAGGAAUCAGAGUGGCACCAAAGUAAGGCAAUGGGAUGUGGCUGUGGAUAUAACUUGUGUUACACAGUAACCAGCUUAAGUACUCGUGGCAUCCCUUUGAGGCCUCUUCUCAAGAGAAUUGAGAAUUCUCCACAACAAGUUGCUUGAUUUUCCCUUGAAUUUAACUUGCACUGCAUCUCAAGCUUACCCUCUGGUGGUACAUUUUAUUCAAGAGUUUUCUUUUCUACAAUUCUGAGGCUUUUUCUUUGUAGGUAUCGCAAGAUACUGAUAUAGAAAUCUAUGGUUAUAUUAGCAUUAAAUACUAUUUUAAUUUUAUUAUUUUUGUAAAAAUUGACAUUGUUAUUGUCUUUUUAACCUCGUGGACAUCAAUGUAGAGAUCCUUUCUAGUCAAGUCUUCGACUUGUUGUUAUUCACAUUUCCAUUUGCAAGAUCAAUGGGAAACUCUGCUGGGUUCAUGGCUAUACAAGGAGAACAUCCAAUUGAAGAGAAAUAGUCCACUGCUUCUGAAGCUUUUCUGGAGUAUAAUGAACUCCUUCAUCCAAUAAUAUAUUUUUAAAAUUACGUUCAAACAAAAAAUUCUAAACACAAUUUAUUUGUUCAAAAGUAAUUUAGUAAGGAUAUAUUGAGUAUUUAGAGAGUAAAUGCUCGUUUAUUUCCUAUAAUUUAAGUUAAGUGUACGUUCAGUUUUUAUAUUUAAGAAAAAACUCAAGACCCUCUUACUAUUAAAUAUGUUACAAUCUUACAUUAUUUUUUUUUAAUUUCAUUUUACAAUAAUGUCCUUGUAACAAUAUUUUUUUGGGAUACUAAUGAAAUGGAAAAUGAUAAUUUAUCAAAUUAACGAUAAAAGUAACAUAAAAAUUUACACAAAAUAUUUUUAUAUUAUUUUACUUUUAGGAUUAAUUUGGUAAAUUAAUUUUUAAUAAAAUAAUUAUCAGUAAGAUAGUUGUAAAGAUAUUAAACUUUACUUUAAGUUGGCUAAUACUUAAUUUAUUUAUAAAUAAUUAUUAGCAAGACUGUUGCACUGGUACAAAAGGUACUAGUUCUUUUACACUAAUAUUUAUUGGUUAAUUUGCUAAUUACUUUGCUACAGAUAAAUUAAUUAAUGUCAAAAAUAUUGUUGCAAAGGGUGUUAUUGAAAAAGGAAAAAAAUAAGGGUAAAAAGUAAUAUAUUUAACUAUAGGAGUAUUUUGAGGUAAGUUUUUAAAAUAUAAAGACUAAAUAAAUACUUAAGUCAAAAAUUAAAGACUAAACCAUUUGUAAAUCACACGUCGUAAUAUUUGUUGAGUUCGGAAUCACAUUUAUCGGAUUUGCAAUUUUUUUUAUUCAUUAAACCAUUUGUUCAUUGUGUUUUAGCAAAAUAAAAUUAAAAAAUAAAUUUUGUUAUGGUGAUGGAGGAAUUCUACUAUAGUUAUGAGGCAUCAUGUAUGUAGUCAUAUAAUAAAUAAAUGAUAUUAAUGAUGAAGAAGGGUGCCAUAGUAAUUCCAAUAAAAGAGGGCAGGUGAGAGAGAGAAAAAAAAUUAAAAAGACAAAUAUUUAUUUUUAGUUUUAACGGACAUAUUUCUAAAAAUAAAUGAAACUAACUAAGAAAAAGGGGUUGGUGAGAUAAAUUAAGAGGGUCAAUUUUUAUCACUCACGGGUUUAUUAUUAUUAUUUUGUGUUGGGCUUUUAUUAGAUUUCCUUUAUAUAUUAGGCUUUGAGCUUUAAUUGCAAUUUAUUUUUGUUGGGCUUAUACACUUGCUUGUGUGUCUAUGUGCGUAUGUAUGUGUGUCUAUGUAUAUUCCUCUAACUGUUACAUUUUAUACUAUUACGUAGGUCUUACAUUCACAGAGACUAAUAAACAAAGAGUAACUAUUAAAAGAAAAAGGGUUCGAUUAUAAUUUGUAUAACCUAGCUGAAAUAUAAACUUCACAUUAUUUUUUUAAAAAAUAAACUUAAAUUUCGACCCCUAACAGAAUUAAUUAUCAUUCCAUUUGAUGAGAAAAUAACAUAGCACCAUUUUAAUUCAUUUAAACUGAUAUACCACGUCUCUAGCUUGGUUCGCCAUACACGUUUUCACUGUAUAGACUGAUUCAACCUAUUUUGUCAAUUAUUUUAUUUUUCAAAAAGAAGGCCCAAGUGUCCAGCAAUUUAGUAUUUCACUGAAAACGAAUGGGUAGACGAAGUGUGUGAAAUGUGAAUUGAUUAAAUUUUAUGAAUUUAUGUGUACGCCGUAUAUAUUCAAAUACUAGCUACUUCCUAACACUGAGUAAAAAUUACAAGAGGUCAACCUACCAUUUAAUCAUAAGCGCAUGCAUUAAUUUGACCGGUAUUAACAAAUUAAUUAGAGAGAGAGGUAUAUUAACCUAAUCUUGGCAAUUUGAAUAAUAAAUUAAUGACUCGGCUUAUGGAAACAGCCACUGAUCACCAAGUCUGUAAGCACUUAACUUUAAUCAAAAGUUUACCACUGCAGCAUUUUGUAUUGUUUUCUCAAGUGAUGAAAUAAUUAGAGCAUCUCCAAAAUACUCUUUAAAUAAAAUUUUAUUACUUAUUUGAAAAGUCACAUCAGUAUUUAGGAUUCCAACAGACACUCCAAUUAAGAUUUUUCAAAUAAAAAAAUGAUUUUUUCUCUUCAAUUUUGUAUAGUUGCUUUCUCCCUCUUCAAUUUAUAUUUUAUUACUUUUUAUUAGGGAGAGAGAGAGAGAGAAAAGUGUUUUAAUUACUAUUUAUUUUUCUUUUGAAAAAAUAUUUAUUUGAUUAAAAUAAUAUUAACUUAUUACUAUUUGAAGAAUAACAUAUUUUUUUCACUCUCCUUUUUACCACAUAGAUAAACAAAUAGAUAUUUGAAGAGUAAAAUUAAUAGAGUCUUUUAGGGGUAAAAACUCGUUUAGUCCCUAUAUUUUGAAGUUAGUGUCCGUUUAGUCCCUAUAUUUUUAAAAAUACCUCAAACCAUCCCUACCAUUAAAUUAUUGACACUCUUGCCAUUAUCUUUUGUUCCUUUUAACUUAUUUUUACACUAUUACCCUAUUAUAAUAAUUUUUUUAGACAUUAUUAAAAAGAAAAAAAAUAAAUUACCAGUUUAACACCAAAAUAAAAAAAAAAUAUAUAUAUAUAUAUUAAUUUUUGUGGAACACUCUCUUGAGUUAAAAUAUUAAUUUUUCUAAAAAAAUUGAUAAUGUAAUUUUUUACAAUAUUAAUUUUUUAGACAUACGUGAGCUUCCACAAAAAUUAAUAUAUACCUUUUUUUGUUUUUAUUUUAUUUUUGAGUUUAAUUUGAUAAUCUAAUUUUUUAUUAAUAUCCAAAAAAGAAACAUUAUUGUAAGAGUGUAAUAUUGUAAAAGCAAGUUAAAAAGAAUAAAAAAUAAUGGCAUGAGUGUCAAUAUUUAGCAGCAUGGACGUUUUGAGAUAUUUUUAAAAAUAUAUGGACUAAAUGAACACUAACCUCAUAAUAUAGGGACUAAACAAGUUUUUACCCGUCUUUUAGAGAUACUCAUAGCUUCUUUCUCCAAAAAUUUGCGGCGAAAAUUGACAUCUCCAAGGCCAUGCAAGUCUAGACGAUGGCAGUUUUUGUAGAAAUAUUUUUGCUCAUGUCCUCUAAGAUGGAAACCACAAUGCUCAAUGAUGCAGGCCCAUAAACUAUACUUGGUUUGUAGAUAAGCUGCGAACCACUUUGGAGCUAGCAUUUUAUUCGUUUGAAACUUCUCUUUUGCUAUGUCCGCAUUUUAUAAAAUCAAAAUUUGUAUGCAUUGGUAAUUAGCACCUAGAUGGCUUUCUUACAUUUCUAUUAAGAUCGCAAUGAAAAUAGUAUAUUGUCAGCUCCAUCCACUUUUAUUGGCCUUCAUUUUCCCAUUUUUUUUUCUUUUCCAUUUGGGAUCAAUGACCAAAAUAAAUUCGAAAUUUCAUCAAAUUCAUUUGCAGGACGCAGGGCUCUACUUGCUGACUACAACGCAACUGGUCGUGGAGGAUAGAAUUGAUGAACUGAGCAAGCUGCAAGCUGCAAGCUGCAAGCUCAUCAACCAUAUAUCAUAUAUGUUGCAUACGGCUAUGGAUUAUAAUAAAUUGUAUAUAUAUGUUUGUAUGUUCUAUGCUAAUGUAAGUCAAAAUAUCUUCUAGU